CAGCUCUUUGCCCAGUCAUUGUGAGUCAUAAUUAACCGUCUGGAUCCCAGAUAGAAAGAAAUCGCCGACCAACAACGUGACAGUGGGAAAUUAACCAUCUAGAGGUAGCUGUCCUUAAAGGAACGUGGACAACUGUCUGGGAGUUCCAGUACCCGCAGUGACCACUCUGCAGUCCCUCACCUGAAUAGACUAAUCACAACUCUGAAAGCCUUUCAAAGGAGGAAGGUUUUGUCCCAAAUAAGCCUUUUUAUUAUCUUAAAGCUCAGUGAAUACAAUAAACACUGCAGGCCUACUGUUUGUGAGCAUUAAUCAUCCAACUUAAUCCAAAAUGUUCUGCGUUGACUCCUGGGUCAAUGCAAGAUACUGCCAAAGGAGACUGGCAUUGACCGUUGAACCAAAGCCUGUCUCUCCCAGAGUUUAAAACAACCAUUGUGCACACAUGCCCCUGCGGGGCCCUAUAGAUUGCUCUGUUUACUAAAUCUCUACUGGCUUCUGGUUUGCAUUUUUCUUUUUGUGCCCAACAAAGGAUACAUUGUUCAUUGCUAAGAUCCCUUGAUUGAAAACGCAAGUGUUGAGUAAUCGCACUCUUCCCAGCUGUGCUAACCCCUCCCCUCCCUUCCCCAUUCUCAUCUGCAUCAGCUUCCUUCCCCAUACCCUCUCAUGAAGUGUGGAUCCGAACUCACGUCUGUCUGAUGUGCUUGCACAAAAGGGACCACAGACAGUCUCAGGACAGGAUGGGGCAUCCCACUGUCGUCACUGAGGGUGAUCGGUGCUGACCUCUUAAGAAGCGAUCAGGUGAGUAGACACCGUUCCUAUAUUUACAGAUAUCAUACAUGCCCCAAAUGUGGGGAGUGGCCCCUUCAGAAAGCAAAAUGUCUACCAAAAAUUCCUAAAGCGGGUGUUGAGCAACUUCCAAGCCAAGAGCCUGCCUUGGUGUGAGAGCUACGAUGGACACUGUGACUGUCAACGUGACUGGGGUUAAACUCAUCAAGGCAGCACACUUCUGGGCAUGCCGAUGACUGUGUUUCCAGGAGACUUAACUGCGGAGGAAGACCUACUGUAAAUGUGAGUGUCACUAUCCAAUGGGCUGGGGUCUUGGACUGAGUGAAAAGCAGAGCCCUGGCCCUCUUUGCUUCCUGACUAUGUGAUAGGGCCA
rnacentral:lncRNA from 1 species